UCAAAAUAAGUAACGUUGAUUCACUUCAAAACAUAAAAUAAGUUUCUACAAUUAAUAUCAACAUCCAGUUAAAUCUUAUCAAUUACACAAUGUAAUAAAAUCAUCAACCGUUAGAUUUUCAAUACUUCUAGUAAUCUUGCUUUUUUGCUAACAGGCCUCAAUGACGCUUCAUCGUCACUUUGAGCUUUUGCUUCUUUUUUCCUCAUGAUGUAAUCCACAAUAGAGAAGCAUGUCUUGUUCAAAAAAUAUGUUGGGAUUGAACUCAACUGAAGGAAUGCCUUGACCAUAAGAAAGGCACUCUGUGUAUGUAACCAUAUGCAAACCACAGUCCCUACAAAAAAAUAUUGAAUAAUAAUUAAAAUAUAGUUUGUACAAAAUUACAAAUCCUCUACAAAUAACACAUCAAUAUAAAUUAUAAACUUCUCUCAAUAUCAUUAUCACUGUAGCAACACAUAUGUGGUGCAAACUUGAAAGUUAUCUUACAAUGAAUAUUUCAUCACGCGACGCCUAUACAAAGUAAAACUACACCUUAUUAAACUGUAAAAAAUAAUAAAACACAAUCAACACAUUUAUACAUAUAAAUAUGUAUAUAUAUAUAUAUAUAUAUUGAACAACACAAAACCAUCACUAAAGCAAAAUACAUAUGAAAUUUGAUAUGUAUGUAUAAAAAUACAAAUGUUUCCCUAUACCUUAAAAUGUAUAUUGAACCUAACAAAAAUACAAAUGAAAGUGCAUAUGUAUCUAUAAAACAUACAAACUACAUACAUAUACCUUAAAUGUAUAUUUAGUCAAUCAUUUGUAUAUAUGGAAAACCGACAUAAAUUGUAUUGAAAAAUUAUUUAAAAAUAUAUUUGUAUUUCAACAGAUACAAAUACAUCCAUAACCACGAAUGUAUUUGUAUAUUUCAACAUUCCAAUAUACUGAAAAUACAUAUCAAGUAUAAUAAAUUCUGUACAUGCAACUUAGCAAAUUCAUUUAACAUACAAAUACAACUAAACAUAGCAGCUUUACAAAAAAUAUAAAUAAAAAAAUGUUAACCCAAAAUGUAUAUUUAACCUAUCAUCUUCAAAAAUCAGCUUUACUGAAAUCCCUAAAUACAUAUUAGCUGAUCAGUAAAUACAUAUUAGCUUCACAAAAAGAAAUAUAUAUUACCCAAAAUUGAUAAAAGCUUUACUGAAAUCACUAAAUACAUAACAGUAACUAAAAAUACAUAUACAAAAAAAAUACCUCUUCCUCCAUGUCUUCUUCAACAACAAAUCAAUCCAAAAUCAUCAACAAUAUUCAUUCAACUCCGAUUAUCCUGCAUUAAUCGCAGUAAAACAAAACUCAGUUCCAAUUCUCAUCCAAAAACAAUUUUUUCAACUAUAUCAACUCAUAAAAAUUUAAAUUUCAUUAAAAAAUAAAUGAAAAAACCUAUCAACAAUAAAUCAACCCAAAAUCAUCUACAAUAUCCAUUCAACUCUGAUUAUCCUCUAUUAACUACAACAAAAUAAAAUUCAGUUUCAGUUCUCAUCCAAAAUUCAAUGUUUUCAACUAUAUUAACUCAUAAAAACGACCUAAAAAUGACCUUGAUAAUGAUUUAUAGUACAAAAUAUAAAAAAAAUCAUGAAAUAGAUAACAUGCAAAAAUUGAAUUUAAUAGUUAUCUAGUUUUGUGGAUCACAAUCCUUAUAAAAAAUGUGAGAAAAGAAAAAAAUUGAAAGUGAAAUUUGAGAGAUUUGAAAGAAAAAAGAGAAAGAGAAAAGGUAAAGUUACAAAGAAGGAGAAAGAUUGGGAAGAAAGAGAAAGAGAAAGUGAAA
rnacentral:lncRNA from 1 species